GACAGAGGAUGCAAGCGUUAUCCGGAAUGAUUGGGCGUAAAGCGUCUGUAGGUGGCUUUUCAAGUCCGCCGUCAAAUCCCAGGGCUCAACCCUGGACAGGCGGUGGAAACUACCAAGCUGGAGUACGGUAGGGGAGACUGGAAUUCCUGGUGUAGCGGUGGAAAUGCGCAGAUAUCAGGAGGAACACCGGUGGCGAAGGCGGGUCUCUGGGCCGAUACUGACGCUGAGGAGCGAAAGCGUGGGGAGCGAACAGG
rnacentral:rRNA from 1 species